GUCGUAUAUGACUGAUGGUUGAGAGGUAACAUAGUUGGGUUCUAACCAAGAAGUUCCGGGUUCGAUUCCCGGUCAUGACA